CUUCAGUGAUGGAUGUCUUGGCUCAGGUGUUGAUGAAGGGCGUGGUGAAGUAUGAUAGACCCUGCGACGUGCGAAGUUCCGAGAGUAAGGAGAACCUUGAAUGCGAACUCUUCCCCCAGGGCACACCUGGGGGGGUCCCUUUUGGCGCCUUUUGAUAGAUCU
rnacentral:rRNA from 1 species